rnacentral:sRNA from 1 species
AGCAGCUCAGAUGGGUUUGAAAAACAGAUGCACAAGGAGGAAGUAAAAUACGCAGCAAGCUUUGUGGAGAAGAAUUGAUAGACAUCGCAUCCGUGCAUUGCUUGACUGCUUCGGGUGUUUGUAUUGAACUGUAACAGACUCCUGAGGAGAUUGUGUCACGCGGAUCACUGCAGUUUUCCUUUGCCAAUGGUAAAUAUGGACCUAGGGCGGAGCGCGCUUGUCUUGAUAUAUAUAUAUAAAAUUGAAAAUGAAUAGAUAUAUAUAUACAUCUGUAUAUAUAUAUAUAUAUCUCUCUAUCCUGGAGGGAAACAAAAACAAAG